CUGGCUAUGUCACCCUGAGCUAAUUGGGGUCACAGGCAUUUUUACUGACUGGAGUCAUGUUGUUUAAAGGAGUUUGCCGUAUUGAACUGACACAGGCAGGGUCAUGCUGACAAUCGUUUUCUAGUUUUAAGGCACUUUACACUCUAAAGUUGCUGAACUGUAAACAAAAAUGAUAGACGCAUCACACAGAGGAAUUGCUGCUGCUUUUGUGCGAGUGAGUAAGAUUCAGCGCCUUUUACAGUAAGAAAGAGAGGGGAAGUCCGGCCCACAGAAAACAGGCCUGAGGGAGCCCAGAGCCCAUGGGAAGUGCAGGUAACAGCAUGCUGUCGUACCAGCUGCCUCAGUGCCUAUUACAGUGUCAAUUUGUUGCCAUGCAGCAGGUGCUCUGUCUCACAUUUGAUCUUUAAUGCUCCGCCAAGGCAAAGACCAGGCAAGAGACACGUCUGUCCAGAACCUCGCGUUGGCAGGUGUGGAAGUGACCAAGCGAAAGAACAGAAACUACAGUCAGAACUCCAGUACCAGUGGCCAUAUGAUUACCACAAGGAGGCUACCUUCAGAUAAACCUGUCCAUAUUUCCCUGAGUCUAGAUGACCUUACAGAGCUGAAUAUCCCUGAUGAUUUCAUUCCCAACGUUUAUCUCCAACUUGAUCAACAUCUCCAGCCUCUGCAGCCAUGCCUCAACUCCAAAGAGUCCAUGCUGGUGUUUCAGAAGCACUGCAGGAUAGCUGAAGAGUACCACAAAGUGCAGAAAGAAAUUGCGCUACUACAAGAACGGAAGAAACAACUGAUUGCAGAGCUUGAUCAAGAUGAAAAGGAUCAACUGAAUGCCACGCUCCUAAUUCAGGAAUAUCAGCAGCUCUCUGAAGAGAAUCACUCUCUGACCUCCUACCACUUACAGUGUAGAGAACAUCUAGAGAAACCUCAGGUGUUACUGCAGCAGCAAGAGGGAUCUUCCUGAUUGCAGGCAAAUGACGCUGAUGUUACAACAAACAAAAUGCUGGAAUAGCUGUGGAAUCUUCUUCACAGAUUCAGAGAAUCAAUUUGAAGAAUUUGUAAAAGGAGAAAUGAAGCCAUUUUGGUAGUUCAUGAUUUUUCUGGAAGCUGAUUUGCAACAUUGCUGUUGUUUUUCCAGAUCAGCCAGUAUACAGCAAAAUUCAAUUUUGCUAACAUCAAAGAAUAUAUGGAAAAGAUUAAGAUCCCUAGAUAUUGUAAACAAAUAUCAAGUCUAUCAUUGUUCUUUGUUAACAUAAAUCUAAAUGUGCAAGAGUUAUUAAUCAAAUCAUUUGUAUAAUGAUCAAAUUAAUGCUGAUAAAUAAUGUUUUAUCAUAACAGAUUAUUCUGUACUUAUAAUUAUUUGAAAACAUAAUAGUCUAUAAAAAUUGCAAUUUCUUUUUAAAUCUACAGUGCAUGCAUGCGAUAAAUAUGUGAGGGAUGUUUGCUUGAGAUUGCCAGUCAACAUUUGAAAAUCAUGAGACUCGUCUCUUUUUAAUUUUAGUCCAUUGCAGAUUGAAACAAAACUGCACUUACAGAAUUAGUUCAUUAUGCAGGGUUUUUAUAUAAUGUGCACCGUUAGUUUCUGUAUUUCCUCUUUGGUCAACCAGGAAUACGCAAAGCACAAACGCGUGGACAUUUCGUUCAUUAUUAUCAUAUGAUUUUUAUAAAUAUUAUAUAAUUCAGUGUUUUAAAAUCAUUUUACUUUGAGGAUAUUUGUGGCAUUUUUACACCAUUUUUUACAAGGUGCGAUUUUAUUUAGCCAGUUAUCUGAAGAAUACAUUGAAAUGUUGAGUACUUCCAGGUUUUUUUCACUGCACACUAAUUCUUGCAGUGGUCAAUAUACAAACUCUUCUCAAUUGUUUUGAAAGGGUAAGUGUAUACUGUGAAAUCUGCAAAAGAUAGAAAGUACUCAAAUAUGAAAACUCAAAGCUGGUCUCUUGUGGUUAUUGUUUCAUUUAAAAUUGUUGUACAACUAUCUAUAAUUUUAAUAAAACUUGGGUGACAUGA